ACUUAAUAAAUUUUGUUUUUCUUUUCAGAAGCCCUCCUCCUUCAGAAACCCAUGCCUUGCUCCCUCUCUUUCAGAAAGCUUCACGCCACCACCACUCACCUUCGCUAGCCACCACUCACCAUCGCCCUUCUCCUUCGUCUUCACCUUUGCUCACCCACACUCACCGUCGCCCUUCUCCGAUCCUUCGUUUUCUCACCUUCGCUCACCACUCACCGAGACAUUGAAGUUUUUCUCUCUCCCUAGCUGCUGCACUCUUCUUCAAGCUGUGUCGCCGCCGUCAAAUCUGGUCCAGCCGCCAUCCCCACUCCCACUGCUCCAGCGCCGUCGCAGCUCGUCUUUAUCGUUGCGUUACGUCGCCUCUGUUCCACGGCCGUUGUUUGUUCCAAUUCCAUCGCCUGUGCUCCACUGCUCCCUCUUCCUCAACUCGGUUUGAGUUCUGGCCCUCAUCUGAGUUCGAAUUCUGUCUGUUAUUAUUUUUUUUCUUGUUUUUAUUGUGUUAUUGUGAUUUAAUUGUCGGUGUUGUUGCUGUGUAACUUAUAAUUGCUCCUGUUGGUGUUGUGAAUCUGAAUAACCGAGAGUGAUGACAUAUUUAUUCUAAAUCUGAAUAGUAUUGAUUAAGAAAAAAUCAAUAAUUAGAGGACAUGUACUAAAAAUUUUAUGUUAAAUCUAAAUAGUAUUGAUUCUUUCUUCCUUUGUUAGAGGCUAUUUCAAUAGUAAAUAAUGCAUGCUGGGCUAUUGGAGAACUUGCAGUUAAGGUAUGUUAAUAUUCUAAUCACACUCUUGUAGUUAUCUAAACUGACCAAGAGUUGAAUGGCACUCUUGUUAGACAUUAGGCUUUGAAUAUCUUUAAAAAAAAUCAUUAUUGCUCCAGCUUCUUGUUUUGGAAUAGAUUCCUAUAACUUGGCAUUGGAGUCUCAGCUCAAAUAUUCUAAUCACACUCUUUCAUAAAACUUGCAUUUAUGUAUAGUUUCUUAUUGUCUUCUUGUUUAUUAGGGACUCAACAAGUCACUCAUAGAGGGAAUAAAGAGGGAAGAGAGGAAUUGCUUGUAGUGUUACUGAACCACAUUCAGAUCUUGAGGUUGACAAUGAGGAGGGUGAACAAGGUUUCACGUUCAGAAAUCAGAGGAGGAAUGGAGGGCCAUUCUCUAUCUGUCUCUAUCUGUCUUCCUCAUGAAUUCACAGACAGUAGAGAGAGGGCAAGGAACAGAGGAAUAGCCAAAGCACCAGGGAGCAAAAACAGGAGCGUUUUUCAAGUUUUUGGCUCUUCAUCAACCAUAGCACCAAGAGGAAGAGAAUGAUGGCCAAGGAGGGAGCUGACUAAAGCUUAAGAGGGAGCUGCGUUCCACUCACCCAACUGUUCUUCGAGUUUCUUUGCUAGUUUAUUCAAUUUCUGUUAACACAACUACCACCACAAGCAAAGAGAGGUGAGUGAUUUUCUCUCCUCUGUGUUUAAUUUGGUCAAAUGGCCUUGUGAAAUGUAACCAAAAUUCUGGUUCUUGAAACGGUUAAGAUUUGGCCUCAAGAGAAAAAACAAGGACAAGUCUUGUGUAUUUGAUCAACAAAGAGGUAAGGGUUAGAAUAGUUAGAUAUUGAUUUUAGCUGUAUUUGGUGAUUAAAUGGCAGAAACCUUUUCAUUGAGUAUGCUUAUUCUCAAAUAAGUUAGGCUACAUAAUGUAUUUAUUGACCAAUCAGCUGCUUGAUUCUUGGAUCUAUAUGUGAAUGAUUAUUGCUUUCUUAAUCAACACAGUUUAUUUUGUAAUGAUAAAUGGUAAUGUUCUAAUAAACAAAAAUCAAGUACUAAUGGGGACUAUUAUUCAUUUGUCUAGAGUAGUUUACUGAUUUCAUGUUAAUUAUUUUAUUGCAUGUGGAUUAUAUAUGCUGCAGUAUUUUCGUGGCUCAUUGCAAUUUGUCAACUAUUGUAAUAACCAAUUAGAUUGAAAGAUGGUGUAUCAUUAGAAUUCCUAAGUUUAAAUAAAGGAAGGCAUUCAGUUACACAAUGAGAAAUUACAUCCUAAAUGUGGUGUCCCUUUGAUAAUCCGUUUUUAGUCGUUUCAGGAUACUUUCUUGAGCUAAUUCAUUCUAAAUGUGGUGGUUAGAGUAGUCUUUUUAACAUGGUAUUUUUAAAUUCAAUAUUCUAACUUAAAAAAACUGUUCUACUUCAUUAGUACUUCUUAUCACUCUUGCUGGUUUCAUUAGUGAAUUUAGUUUAUUAUGCAUAUUAUUUUUUAUUAUAAGGCAUAUUAUUAGUGCUUCUGAUCACUCUUGCUUAUUUAAUUUUUAUUAGUGCUUCUGAUCACUUUUGAUUCCAAAUUGAUGAUUCUAUUGUUGAUUUUAUCAGAGGAAACAUGAAUUUAAAAGAAGCUGCACAAAUUUUCAGAAGAACUACAAGGUCUUUAGCUUCAUCUUCUGCACAAAUUUCUACUUCAUCUUUAGUUAAGUUUUGUUUGCUUUCUAUUUCUUUUUGGCCUUUAGUUUCAUCCUAUAUUAUUAUUAGUUAGUUGGUUUCAAUUUCGUUCCUUGGGUUUGAGUUUCUUCUCCAAAAUCCCUGGUUGAAUAAUGGAUAAGAGCAUGUUAGCUGGUUUGGAAUCACUUUUAGAAGCUGAUCAGCAAAGAAUGGCAUCCAUGAUGGAAUAGGUUCAAAUUUGUGACAGGUACCUCCUCUUCACUCUAUCUAUUAACUAAUUCCAUGUGUUUUGAUUUGAGCUGCAUGUUCUUAAAAUUCUAAGUUAGGGCAGCACAAAUAGUUUCAACAUGGAAGACAUGGAAGAGAUGACUUGGGAGAUGAGAGUAGGAAUGAGCUACUUCCACGAUAAAUGAAGAACAUAGGGAUAAAUGAGCGGGUAAUCAGAGAGUGACUCCUGAAGUGACAAGGGAUGUUUGUUUACUAGCUAGAAUGAUUGCUGCUAAUUUGUAUUAUUUCCAGAUAGAAAAUCUUAUGUUUGAAGUAAUUUAUUUUUAGAAAAAUAAAUUUUAUUUUUAGAGAAAUAAUUUGUAUUAUUCUCAAAUAAAAAAU